rnacentral:rRNA from 1 species
AAUUAAAGGGCCGCGGUAUUCCUGACCGUGCGAAGGUAGCAUAAUCAUUAGUCUUUUAAUUGGAGGCUCGUAUGAAUGGUUGGACGAAAAAUAAUCUGUCUCUUAGCUGAAAAUUGAAUUUAACAUUUAAGUGAAAAGGCUUAAAUAUAGUAAAAAGACGAUAAGACCCUAUAAAUCUUUACAUUAUCUUAAGGUUUAAGGCUAAAUAUAAGUAAAAUGUUUUUAAAUUUUUUAUAAUGUUUUGUUGGGGCAACAUGAAUAGCAAUAUUUAUCUGUUUAUAAAAGUUACAAGAAAUUUUUGAGUGUAUAAAAAUAAGAUCCUUCUUAGAGAUUACAARAUUAAGUUACUUUVGGGAUAACAGCGUUAUUUUACUUGAGAGUUCUUAUNGAAAGUAAAGUUUGCGACCUCGAUGUUGAAUUAAAAUUUCUUUAUGG